rnacentral:rRNA from 1 species
GGUGUAGGCGGCUUGACAAGUCGGGUGUGAAAUCUCUGGGCCCAACCUAGGAACUGCACUCGAAACUGUCUUGCUAGAGUCCCGGAGAGGGUGGCGGAAUUCCCGGUGUAGAGGUGAAAUUCGUAGAUAUCGGGAGGAACACCAGUGGCGAAGGCGGCCACCUGGACGGUGACUGACGCUCAGACCCGAAAGCGUGGGGAGCGAACA